CCCAAAGGACUUGACGGUACCCCAUAUCCCCCUAGAGGAGCCUGUCCUAUAAUUGAUAAUCCACGUUUAACCUCACCAUUUCUAGUUAAUCAGCCUGUAUACCUCCGUCGCCAGCUUACCACGUGAGCGCUAAUUAGUGAGCCUAAUGUUAUUUCACCAAUACGUCAGGUCAAGGUGCAGCAAAUGAAAUGGGAAGAGAUGGGCUACACUUUCUAUUUUAGAAAAAACGAAAAACUAUUUAUGAAAUCUAGUUAGAAGGCGGAUUUAGUAGUAAAAAGGAAUCAGCACGUCCAUUUUAACCCGGCACUGGGGUGUGUACACACCGCCCGUCACCC
rnacentral:rRNA from 1 species